UUGCCCUGUGCCUCGCUCGGCGGGUACCCUCCAUGUACCCGUCUUGAGCUGGAUG
rnacentral:snRNA from 2 species